rnacentral:rRNA from 1 species
GUAGGGAAUAUUGCACAAUGGAGGAAACUCUGAUGCAGCGACGCCGCGUGAGUGAUGAAGGCCUUCGGGUCGUAAAGCUCUGUCGCAGGGGAAUAACACAAUGAAGGUACCCUGUAAGAAAGGAUCGGCUAACUUCGUGCCAGCAGCCGCGGUAAGACGAGGGAUCCUAGCGUUGCUCGGAAUCAUUGGGCGUAAAGAGGGCGUAGGUGGCUUGGUAAGUCAGGUGUGAAAGCCCAGGGCUCAACCCUGGAAGUGCAUUUGAUACUGCUGAGCUUGAGUGUCGGAGAGGUUACCGGAAUACCUGGUGUAGUGGUGAAAUACGUAGAUAUCAGGUGGAACACCGGAGGCGAAGGCGGGUAACUGGACGAACACUGACACUGAGGCCCGAAAGCGUGGGGAUCAAACAGGAUUAGAUACCCUAGUAGUCC